UGGUACUAGAAUGGCUCUGGUAAACCCUAGGGCUGUGCUAAGAGGGCAAGCCUGUGGCCACAAUAAAGUUAUCUUUCACCAGCCAAGUUCCUAAAGGAUCUGGCUGGGUUUGUGGGUGACUGACUAUGCAGCCCAUAUAUUGUGAUGUAUUGUGACCCUUUUUCAGGUCAUGGCUUUAGAACCAGUGUUAGGAUAGCUAAACUGGAUGAAACCAGGGGAAGCCAUUGAUACUGCCUGUUUCUCUAUCUGUAGAGUGAGUUUAUUGGUAUACUUCUCCGUUAAGAGCUACAGGGGUCCCAGAGGGUCUCAGGCCAUCAGUUUUGCCACUAGGUCAGAGGUACCAGUGUCCUGGGUGUCCUUAUGACAUACUGCAGACACAGGUUUGCCAGAUUAGAGCUGUAUUGCUGAGUUGUGAUGCCCCAGGAUGCUCUAGGGAAACCAUUUUUCCUGCCUCUCGCAGGAGCCCUAGCAGACCUAAGUAAAUGGACUUUUUGUUUGUUUGUUUUGAUUUUGUUUUUCGAGAUAGGGUUUCUUUGUAUAAUCCUGGCUGUCCUGGAACUUACUCUGUAGACCAGGCUGGCCGCCAACUCAGAGAUCCGCCUGCCUCUGCCUCCCGAGUGCUGGGAUUAAAGGUGUGCACCACCCUUGCCCAGGUGGUAAAUACAUGUCUUUAUGUCCAGGUUUUCUCUGUCUGUUCCUCUCUUCUUAGGAUACCAUUUAUAAUCAGAUUAAGGACCAAUUCUACUGCAGGACAACCUUAUUUUAGCAGAUUACUUAUUUAAUGACUCUGUUUCCAAAUAAGGCCACAUUUGGAGAUAGGACUUACAGUGUCACUGGACAGUCAGUGUCCUGAGCUUUACUACUGUCUCUUUGAAGAGAUACAGUUUGACCCAUGGCAGUCUGUAGUUUCUAAAAUUACUACUCUUCCCAGGAGCAAAUUAGCCAAUACCAGUAUCUCCCAAGUAGCAUCCCAACUGAUGCUA
rnacentral:lncRNA from 1 species